GAUGAACGCUGGCGGCGUGCCUAAUACAUGCAAGUCGAACGCAUUGAGAGAAGUGCUUGCACUUUUCAAUUUGAGUGGCGAACGGGUGAGUAACACGUGGGCAACCUACCUGAUAGCGGGGGAUAACGAGUGGAAACAUUCGCUAAUACCGCAUAACAAUAGAGAAGGCAUCUUCUUUAUUUAAAAGGCGCUUUCAAGCGUCACUAUCAGAUGGGCCCGCGGUGCAUUAGUUAGUUGGUGGGGUGAAGGCCUACCAAGACGAUGAUGCAUAGCCGGGUUGAGAGACUGAUCGGACACAUUGGGACUGAGACACGGGCCAAACUCAUACGGGAGGCUGCAGUAGGGUAUCUUCCACAAUGGACGAAAGUCUGAUGGAGCAACGCCGCGUGUGUGAUGAAGGCUUUCAGGUCGUAAAGCACUGUUGUAUGGGAAGAAAUGCUAGGCUAGGAAAUGAGCUUAGUUUGACGGUACCAUACCAGAAAAGGACGGCUAAAUACGUGCCAGCCGCCGCCGUAA
rnacentral:rRNA from 1 species